rnacentral:rRNA from 1 species
GCGGAGGAAAAGAAACCAACAGGGAUUGCCUUAGUAACGGCGAGUGAAGCGGCAACAGCUCAAAUUUGAAAUCUGGCCUUUGGCCCGAGUUGUAAUUUGCAGAGGAUGUUUCUGGCGAGGUGCCUUCCGAGUUCCCUGGAACGGGACGCCAUAGAGGGUGAGAGCCCCGUACGGUUGGUCGCUAAGCCUCUGUGAAACUCCUUCGACGAGUCGAGUAGUUUGGGAAUGCUGCUCUAAAUGGGAGGUAUACGUCUUCUAAAGCUAAAUACCGGCUAGAGACCGAUAGCGCACAAGUAGAGUGAUCGAAAGAUGAAAAGCACUUUGAAAAGAGGGUUAAAUAGUACGUGAAAUUGUUGAAAGGGAAGCGCUUAUGACCAGACUUGGACCGGUUGAUCAUCCAUCGUUCUCGGUGGUGCACUCUGCCGGUUCAGGCCAGCAUCAGUUUGGCUCGGGGGAUAAAGGUUUCGGGAAUGUGGCUCCCCACGGGGAGUGUUAUAGCCCGUUGCGUAAUACCCUGGGCUGGACUGAGGUUCGCGCUCCGCAAGGAUGCUGGCGUAAUGGUCAUCAGUGACCCGUCUUGAAACACGGACCAAGGAGUCGUCUUCGUAUGCGARUGUUCGGGUGUCAAACCCCUACGCGUAAUGAAAGUGAACGUAGGAGAGAGCUUCGGCGCAUCUCCGACCGAUCCUGAUGUUCUCGGAUGGAUUUGAGUAAGAGCAUACGGGGCCGGACCCGAAAGAAGGUGAACUAUGCCUGUAUAGGGUGAAGCCAGAGGAAACUCUGGUGGAGGCUCGCAGCGGUUCUGACGUGCAAAUCGAUCGUCAAAUAUGGGCAUGGGGGCGAAAGACUAAUCGAACCUUCUAGUAGCUGGUUUCCGCCGAAGUUUCCCUCAGGAUAGCAGUGUUGAACUCAGUUUUAUGAGGUAAAGCGAAUGAUUAGGGACCCGGGGGCGCUAUAUAGCCUUCAUCCAUUCUCAAACUUUAAAUAUGUAAGAAGCUCU